ACCCCCUCAGAGACAUCAUCACUCGCACAUAGACUUCCUCACACUCAAGCAAUACAACCACAAUGGAGUAGAGUAUUACAGUGUGACGACCCGAACCAUUCUAAAUCCUUGUGUGUUCUUGUGUUCAUCCUCCUCAUCAGGCAAACCCUAGGCUGCCUGUCACACCCGGAUUAAGGGAUAAAGCCGGGUGCGUCUCAUAUAUGCGCCAAAGAAGAACAUCACAUAUGAUGACAAAGUGUAUAGAGAUAAAUGUCACAAAUAUCAUUAUUACAUAGCGGAAGUCUUACAAAAAUAAAUAAGAACAAUAAAGUGAACUAAGUAUUAUUCCUUGAUGCCAUCAAGCUGACUGGGAGACGCCACCUAGAUAAGCUCGUACUCCUCGUUGUAGGUUUCCUCCUGAACCACCUGUUCUUCUCCUGUGGGGGGUUUAUAUAUCGCAAGGGUGCGAUCACAAAAGAUCAUAACUCAACAAGUUGUGGGUAAUAAUGUGCAUGAACACACCAAAGGUGGGAGUUCACGUGGAGUGUAAGGCUGAUCAAUAAAUAAGGGUUAAAGCUGAGCAUUGCUUUUAAUAAGUUGGUCAAGUUUUAUUAACAGUUACUAAAUGUAAGUAGAUAUCAAACCAGAUUAAUAAUAGAUCAAAAUUAAUAAUAAAACCACAAUGUGAUGCAAAAUGAUAAAGUGAGUUUAAUUCUAUAAAUUAAUCAUGCGAGAGUCUUGAGCUACUCAUGACCGCGAGCACUGCAGUAUACCAAUUUUACACUCUGCAGAGGUUGUACCCUUUACCCACAAGUCAUGUCACCCGGUUGCCAAGGGGUCUAGAAGUCCCAUUCAUCUCUACCGAGGAGACGAGGCAGGGUAACACUACGAGGCCUUUACAAAGUUCCACUAGCUUUAGAAAACUCGCUAUAGUUUCUAGGGAGCACAAUGCAGGAAUCCCCUGUCUGACCGCCAUCAUAGCAAAAUCAACCCAAGAACCUCCCUACACCGACAACUCCCCUACUGCCCUUACCCCUUUCGGGUAAGGUAGACCUCCACUAGCUUUCCUAAUUAGUCGACAAAGGGCGUCCCAUUCUACCCUUGUGGUGGCACAUGUUUCUCAAGUUAAGCUCCAUGUUCCAAUUAACAUAAUAGUCUUAUUAUGAACAGAAUAAAACAAUAAUAAUAAAGAAUGACCAUGUGUAAUAGCUAUCUCAACACCCAAAACCACAUAUAGCAAUAGCAAAGACUACCCAAAAGUUUAGGGGUAAACAAGGUGUAAAGAUGACCAAACUAGGGUGACCUAUUGGGUCCUAUUGAAAUUAAGCCUAUGCAUGCCAAAAUGAUUAUAGAGAACAUUAUUGGGUAAAUAAAGGUGCUUAAGGGCAUAACUUGCCUUCAAUGAGCUCCUGUUCAGUAGUUCCCACUUGCUGGGUACCGGGGUCCUCAAUCACUUGCUCCUCUACUCAAAACAAUACAAACAGACAUAGUACAGGGGAAAUUAACAUCACACCAAAUAGAGAGAUAUAAUGCAUGAUAAUAUUCUAUACAUCGUAACAAGAUCGUAGGUUCGAGAAUCACUAAAUUCGGAGUCACGGAUAAUAAGUUAUGAUUUUCCAAAGGUUUGAUGUGUUUGGUACAAAAAUAACCAAGUGAUUAAUUUUAAUAUAGAUUUAAUGCUAAAACAAAGUUACCAAGUGAUAAACAAUAUUAAAAAAAUAAAAUUAUUGUGAUUGGAAUGGAUUAAAAAGGAGUUAAAAUAAAUUUUCUAGGAAUUAAACAAGUUUUGGGGUUAUUUUAACACUAAAAUCAUUUUCUAAAUUGAUUUCUCAGAUUUUUCUAACUCCCUGGAUUGCGCGCACCAAUACUAGGAAGCUCAUGGGUCUAAAUCAAAGAGGUCAGGGCCUGGCUAUGAGGGUCUUCACAUAUGCAUGGACGGCGGGUCAAUUCCUAGAACCCCGAGGGCUCAUAUGCAUAAAGGUUCGGUUGAAGGGAUAUGGAGGGUGUUCUAGCCAUUAGAUCUGAAUCCAACGCACCAGAUUAAAUGAACCUCAUACUGAGUGGGUACGCGGCCACUGACGUUGGAUUAUCGAUCUACGACACAUGUUUCACAUACGCGCGAUCUAAAAUCCUCCGUACGAUCUAGAGUUAACGGCCAGGAUUCAAUUAUGUGCAAAGGGGUACGCACUUCUAAUCUGGACUGCCCAUAGCCGAUCGGAUGACCCAGAGGUCACCACUGUCCCCCCGACCUAACCGGGUGGCGCCGCCGAGCCCCCAUGGUGGAGCAGGCCGUCGGCGCUCUCCGCCUGAUGCCCCAAACUUGGAUUCCAAGUCUAAUGGCCAGCGCGCAACGUCCUAACCUUCCUAAACUCGAAAAUCUACUACACGCCGCCGAUUAACUUGCCCAGAUCCCUAACCACGGCGAACCGUGGCAAACCGAUGCCAGAGGGGCUCCAGUGACCAAUUCCUGUCCCGUCAAAGAAUAAUUCCCUCCCCCGCAUGACACUACACCUCAAGGAUUAGUCAAUGACAACAACGGAAGCGGGCAUACCCGUGGAUUUGUUGUGAUGGAGCGGGUCCACAGCGUGGGGUGGAACCGAGGCGAUGUCAAGCGACAGUGAGCGAUUUCGAUCGUGUCUUGCCCACAGCCACGACUCCGAUCUGUGCGUAGAGCACCAGAGGCCCCACAGCUCCACCAGCCCGGUCUCCGAGCACGAGCGCAACCCCCUCCAACCCCCUCUCACCCUUCCUCUUUCUUUCGACGCCCGCGAGGGAAUCCUGGCGAACAAGGGGAGAAGGAGGUGUCCGACUCUGGAUAUAUACCCAGGGAAGAGAAGCCGGUGGGCCCAAGCUGGUGCCGGCGGUUGCGAGGAUAGGGGGAAGCUCCACCACUUGAUUCCGGCACGGCCCGCUACAUACCCGGCGUUUGUUACACGAGGAGCACGAUGACAAUGUGGGUCCACCCGUCAGUGCGUGAUCAGGGCAGCAUGGAGUCGCGCAGAUGUGACUUGCUAACGACGGCCCCACCUGUCACCGAGAGAGAACCCAGCCGCAAGUGAAAACCCAACGCGCGCGGAGAAUGGGCCAAGUGGGCUGGUUUUGGGGUUUUGGCCCAAGCGGAGUGUUAGGGUUUUUUCUUUUUCUUUUUCUUUUCCUGAUCUCUUUUCUUUUUAUUUUUUGAAUCUCAAUUUCAUAUUCAAAUUUUGUUGCCAAAUUC
rnacentral:lncRNA from 1 species